rnacentral:lncRNA from 1 species
CCCCUGAUAGAGAACUAUAGGAGCAGGGCUACAUGGCGAGGACUGGCUGGCGUUAGUAAAUGUAUUUGAUCAGUAUACUUAUUUAUAAUAAUAUUAUUUAGAGCACCUCUCGUGAAUCCAUUUGCGCAUUAUUAUUAUUUUUAAAAAUUUUUAUCAAUAUCAUCCUAAAUAUUAUAUUUUAUAUAAAUAUCUUUUCAAAAUUGAUAUUUAUAUAUAUACCCUCGUAAAAUAUUUAUUUUAUUCUUCUAUUUUUUUAUUUUU